rnacentral:rRNA from 1 species
AGCGACGCCGCGUGAGCGAUGAAGGCCUUCGGGGUCGUAAAGCUCUGUCGUAUGGGAAUAAACAAAUGAAUGUACCAUGCAAGAAAGGAUCGGCUAACUUCGUGCCAGCAGCCGCGGUAAGACGAGGGAUCCUAGCGUUGUUCGGAAUCAUUGGGCGUAAAGCGGGCGUAGGUGGCUAUUUAAGUCAGUUGUGAAAGCCUGGGGCUCAACCCCAGAAGUGCAAUUGAUACUAUUUAGCUUGAGUGUGGAAAAGGUAACUAGAAUUCCUGGUGUAGUGGUAAAAUACGUAGAUAUCAGGAGGAAUGCCGGUUGCGAAGGCGGGUUACUAGUCCAACACUGACACUGAGGCCCGAAAGCGUGGGGAUCAAACAGGAUUAGAUACCCUGGUAGUCCACGCCAUAAACGAUGAAUACUCGUUGUUGGAGGUAUUGACCCCUUCAGUGACUAAGCUAACGCGUUAAGUAUUCCGCCUGGGAAGUACGGUCGCAAGAUUAAAACUCAAAGAAAUUGACGGG